AUGGGAAAGACUAGAGAUCUCUUCAAGAAAAUUAGAGAUACCAAGGGAACAUUUCAUGCAAAGAUGGGCUCAAUAAAGGACAGAAAUGGUAUGGACCUAACAGAAGCAGAAGAUAAUAAGAAGAGGUGGCAAGAAUACACAGAAGAAUUGUACAAAAAAGAUCUUCAUGACCCAGAUAAUCACGAUGGUGUGAUCACUCACCUAGAGCCAGACAUCCUGGAAUGGCCACAGGACUGGAAAAGGUCAGUUUUCAUUCCAAUUCCAAAGAAAGGCAAUGCCAAAGAAUGCUCAAACUACUGCACAGUUGCACUCAUCUCACACACUAGUAAAGUAAUGUUCAAAAUUCUCCAAGCCAGGCUUCAACAAUACGUGAGCCAUGAAUUUCCAGAUGCUCAAGCUGGUUUUAGAAAAAGCAGAGGAACCAGUGAUGAAACUGCCAACAUCCACUGGAUCAUGGAAAAAGCAGAGUUCCAGAAAAACAUCUAUUUCUGCUUUGUUGACUAUGCCAAAGCCUUUGACUGUGUGGAUCACAAGAAACUGUGGAAAAUUCUGAAAGAGAUGGGAAUAGCAGACCACCUGACCUACCUCUUGAGAAACCUAUAUGCAAGUCAGAAAGCAACAGUUAGAACUGGGCAUGGAACAACAGACUGGUUCCAAAUAGGAAAAGGAGUACAUCAAGGCUGUAUAUUGUCACCCUGCUCAUUUAACUUAUAUGCUGAGUACAUCGUGAGAAACGCUGGACUGGAAGAAACACAAGCUAGAAUCAAGAUUGCUGGGAGAAAUAUCAAUAACCUCAGAUAUGCAGAUGAUACCACCCUUAUGGCAGAAAGUGAAGAGGAACUAAAAAGCCUCUUGAUGAAAGUGAAAGAGGAGAGUGAAAAAGUUGGCUUAAAGCUCAACAUUCAGAAAACUAAGAUCAUGGCAUCCGGUCCCAUCAUAUCAUGGGAAAUAGAUGGGGAAACAGUGGAAACAGUGUCAGACUUUAUUCUUUCGGGCUCCAGAAUCACUGCAGAUGGUGACUGCAGCCAUGAAAUUAAAAGACGCUUACUCCUUGGAAAGGAAGUUAUGACCAACCUAGACAGCAUAUUGAAAAGCAGAGAUAUUACUCUGCCAACAAAGGUCCAUCUAGUCAAGGCUACGGAUUUUCCAGUGGUUAUGUACAGAUGUGAGAGUUGGACUGUGAAGAAAGGUGAGUGCCGAAGAAUUGAUGCUUUUGAACUGUGGUGUUGGAGAAGACUCUUGAGAGUCCCUUGGACUGCAAGGAGAUCCAACCAGUCCAUUCUGAAGGAGAUCAGUCCUGGGUGUUCUUUGGAAGGACUGAUGCUAAAACUGAAACUCUAG
rnacentral:lncRNA from 1 species